CUCAGGAACAUAUUAAAUUUAAUAAUAAAUGAUGGACUUUGAUGGGAAAUUUGUCAAGAAGUGAUAGUGUGGGUCACCUUAAUGAACUGCUGUUUAAGACAGACAGUUACUACUCAGCUUUGGGUUUUCUUAGGAAUGUCACAAGGUCGGGUCAGCUGCAGUGUUAGCACAGUCCUCAGUGACCCUCAUCGGUGCCCCAUCUGCUUUGGCUUAGAGAGCACCAUAGCUUUACCUUCAGGGCAGGAUCCAGUCAGUAAGGUCCUUUCCAUCCUGGUCCAUAGCUGCAUGCAGCUUUCCUUACAGUGUUCUCUGCAGCAGGACCUGGUGUUAAGGAACAGCAAGGACUCUGUAGAAGAUGUAGUAGAAUCUGAGUCCUGGAGGACAAUACUCUAGAAGGUAGCCCCGAGGCAGAUUAUAGGUCUUUUCUUCAUGAGACACAACCUUCAAAGUUCUGUUGUUUCUUAGGUCUCCAUGGAAGCUCUGGGAAACUCACUGGAUCAACUUCUAGUCUGAAUAAACUCAGUGUUCAGAGCUCGGGCAGUCGCAGGUCCCAGUCAUCCUCCCUGCUGGACAUGGGGAACAUGUCCGCUUCUGACCUCGAUGUGGCCGACAGAACCAAAUUUGAUAAGAUCUUUGAGCAGGUGCUGAGCGAGCUGGAGCCGCUGUGUCUGGCAGAGCAGGACUUCAUAAGUAAAUUUUUCAAACUACAGCAACAUCAAAACCUGUCUGCGUCAAUGGUAUGGCUUACAUUUAACUGGACAGUAUUUAUAGUCUAAUAUAGUUAGCCUAGUUACUUUUGUAUUCUGCACUCACAGUUUUGAUAUCCAAACAGGAAAGGGAAGGCUAUCCAAUAAGUCAAUCUUUAAAGUAUUUGUUAUUCACAAAAUACAGAAAGCAUAAAAAUUUUAAUAUUUUGCUGUUCUCAAAGAAAAGCUCUGACCUAAGAGAUAAUGACACAGAGGGUCAGGGGCCUUAGCUUGGAGUCUGGACACUGUGGGUGCUGCCCGUCCCCAGUCGCUAUUAGUGUGGUGCAGAUGCACUGCCUGUGGACAUGAGAAUGGAUGAGAGGACUGGAGCCAGUUUUGAAGAAUCAAACCACACAGGGAGCUGCGCCCUAAGGCAUGAGAAACUCCGCUGCGGGGUAGGAGUGCCGUAAACUUCUCACACAGCUUCAGAAA
rnacentral:lncRNA from 1 species